rnacentral:rRNA from 1 species
GACGAACGCUGGCGGCGUGCUUAACACAUGCAAGUCGAGCGGAAAGGCCCUGCUUUUGUGGGGUGCUCGAGUGGCGAACGGGUGAGUAACACGUGAGUAACCUGCCCUUGACUUUGGGAUAACUUCAGGAAACUGGGGCUAAUACCGGAUAGGAGCUCCUGCUGCAUGGUGGGGGUUGGAAAGUUUCGGCGGUUGGGGAUGGACUCGCGGCUUAUCAGCUUGUUGGUGGGGUAGUGGCUUACCAAGGCUUUGACGGGUAGCCGGCCUGAGAGGGUGACCGGCCACAUUGGGACUGAGAUACGGCCCAGACUCCUACGGGAGGCAGCAGUGGGGAAUAUUGCACAAGGGGCGGAAGCCUGAUGCAGCAACGCCGCGUGCGGGAUGACGGCCUUCGGGUGGUAAACCGCUUUCGCCUGUGACGAAGCGUGAGUGACGGUAAUGGGUAAAGAAGCACCGGCUAACUACGU